rnacentral:rRNA from 1 species
GUGGGGAAUAUUGGGCAAUGGGCGAAAGCCUGACCCAGCCACGCCGCGUGAGUGAUGAAGGCCUUCGGGUCGUAAAGCUCUGUGGGGAGGGACGAACAAAUCUGGGGCUAAUCACCCGGAUCCUGACGGUACCUCCUUAGCAAGCACCGGCUAACCCUGUGCCAGCAGCCGCGGUAAUACAGGGGGUGCAAACGUUGCUCGGAAUCAUUGGGCGUAAAGCGCACGUAGGCGGUCUGUUAUGUCGGAUGUGAAAGCCCUUGGCUUAACUGAGGAAGUGCAUCCGAAACUGGCAGGCUAGAGUACUAAAGAGGGUCGCGGAAUUCCCGGUGUAGAGGUGAAAUUCGUAGAUAUCGGGAGGAACACCGGUGGCGAAGGCGGCGACCUGGGUAGAUACUGACGCUGAGGUGCGAAAGCGUGGGGAGCAAACAGGAUUAGAAACCCGAGUAGUCC